rnacentral:rRNA from 1 species
AAAGGAAUUGACGGGGGCCCGCACAAGCGGUGGAGUAUGUGGUUUAAUUCGACGCAACGCGAAGAACCUUACCAGGGCUUGACAUUGAUUGACGUAUCCAGAGAUGGAUAUUUCUUCUUCGGAAGACAAGAAAACAGGUGGUGCAUGGCUGUCGUCAGCUCGUGUCGUGAGAUGCUGGGUUAAGUCCCGCAACGAGCGCAACCCCUAUUAUCUGUUGCCAGCACGUCAAGGUGGGAACUCAGAUGAGACUGCCGCGGACAACGCGGAGGAAGGCGGGGAUGACGUCAAGUCAUCAUGCCCCUUACGUCCUGGGCUACACACGUACUACAAUGGGAUACACAGAGGGAAGCGAAGGAGCGAUCUGGAGCGGAACCCAAAAAAUAUCCCCCAGUUCGGAUUGCAGGCUGCAACUCGCCUGCAUGAAGUUGGAAUCGCUAGUAAUCGCAGGUCAGCAUACUGCGGUGAAUACGUUCCCGGGCCUUGUACACACCGCCCGUCACACCACGAAAGUCAUUCACACCCGAAGCCGGGAAAGGGCCUUAUGGAACCGACCGUCUAAGGUGGGGGCGAUGAUUGGGGUGAAGUCGUAACAAGGUAACC